UUUAACCACAGAAACACUGAACUGGAGACACUCGCUGAGCAUAACAAGUUACAGAGAUGGAGAAGUCUAAGGUCUUCCACCUCAGGUGCUGGAGAUAGUUAUAGGGCCAGAGGGAAGAAGCCAACUAUAGGAAUUCUGCCUCAAAGCUUCUUAUAGAAAUAAAGGAUCUAAAGGUUUGACACAGGGUGACAGUCCUCAGUGGGGUAAGCCUGUGUGUAUCCGCCUCACGUAGAGACCAACCAAGGAUGUGAAUUUAAUAUUCUACAACAGAAUCCCAAACACAAGUAAACACCUGCAGUGCUUCAAAGAUGCCUGUCUUUCAGUGGAACAUGCCCAUCUUUUGUGCACCAGACUAGAGUGGUUGUUCCUGUCUCCUGCAAACCCCCUUCUGUAGCUGUUCUAGUUAAGUUUCUCCCAUCACCCUAUUAUUUUGGGGCAACUUGUAAGUGGCUCCACUAAGUUUCUGGGCCUACGUGUAAAUCUGCUACUGGCAGUGGAAGAAGAGUAUAGUGAGCAUAGGUCUCUGACGCGAGUUAUGUUUUGGGGGCACUAACAUAUUUCUGUGGGCAGAGUUCCACUGGGAGGCGUCUGCUGUCUCUGUACUUUCCUGUGGAUAGUGAUAGAGGAUAAGAAAUUCUCUGUUCAUUGUCCCCAGUGGUAAUUUGCAACUUCUGAUGGUCAGCCUUCCCAUUUUAAAUGAGAGUAGGGGUUAAUACUAUCCAUGAGGCCAAAGCCUAUACUAACAACAGCAGCAACAGAAAUAGACUAAAGAAAUGAAUGAUCUUUAGAAAAUGCCCAGGUUUGGCAGACUGUUUCGCACCCUUACAACUUGCAAGUUCAAUCAGUUGAUUUAGUGAGAAUCAUUUAGGUGUUUUCCAUAUAUUUGAAUCUACCAAGUCUAAAUCGGGGACGCAGAGAGAGACAGAAAAAUGAUUCAAGCAGGAAACUAAAAAUG